rnacentral:lncRNA from 1 species
CCCACUUUGUAUCAGUCGCAAAGAAAGAGCACCCAAUUGGACAAAAGGUUAACGUUCCACAACAAAGAAAGUAGCACUUAACAUCCAGAGGAAACAGAGAUAGGAGAAAGGGUUCACGAACCAGUCCAGGAGAGUGAAGAAGACACAAGAAGAAGACAGAAACCUCCUGGUCUGGGCCAGUCUGUGGAUCUUGCAAGGAUGUCUUCGAGGUGGUGGAGCCUCAGGCGGCAGAUGGUGAGUUCUGCUGGGGCCUUUCCUUCUGCAAUCACAGAGGCCUCCCGUGAGAAGUGACAUCUGAAGAGUGCGCUUGCUUGCGUCCUCAUCUGUUUGGAUGCAGGCUUUAUUUUUAACUUGUUUAUUAAGCAAAACAUCUUACCUUUGUUGGCCAAGUGCCCUGUAAGAUAUACAAUGGAGUCUCUAAGAUGGAGUUAGUUAUGCCAAGGGUGCUGUGUGCAUGGGGGCACACAUUAGUGGCUCACAGCUGUGACUCCCUCCAGGCCCCUCAAGAAGAAAUUCAUGACAGAGAACACGGCCAGAGUUCAGUCCUCAGUUCCCCCUUAUCUGGGUCUCUGUGAUAGCAGUCGGCAUUUUCCACCGGGUGGGGGUUUCUGAAAGACUUGAGAAUGUAUGUUAUGCUUUAGUUUCUAUAGGGAAGCAAACCACCUGUGGCUGUGGCCUGCUUGGGAGACCCGUGCUCCCGUCGCCUUCCUGGCAGGCUGCUCACUUACCUUUCAAGGCUGGCAAGGUGACUGGAAUUUCCCUUGAAGGGAUUCAAGAGUGUUCCUUGAUUUCCAAGCUUGGGAGAGCCUGGCAGGCACCUAGGAGGGGUCCCUGCUCCAUCUCACUAUGUUGCCCAUGUGGGUCUUGAACUCCUGGGCUCCAGCCGUCCUCCUGCCUCAGCCUUCUGAGUAGUGGGGACUACAGCUGUGGGCCACUGUGUAACCGCCCAGUGGGUUCGCCUCAUUGUAUUCACUCCUUUCCAGGUUUGUAUUUAUGGUAUGAAUUUUAAUUUCACCACAAAAACUUAAAUCUCCCACAAGACAGAACUUUUUUUUUUUUUUUGAGACGGAGUCUUGCUCUGUCGCCCAGGCUGGAAUGCAAUGGCGUGAGAGGCCUUCUGGGUUCAAGUGAUUCUCCCAUCUCAGCCUCCCUAGUAGCUGGGAUUACAGGCAUGUGCCACCACAC